GCUUAGUGGCGGACGGGUGAGUAACGCGUGAGCAACCUGCCUCUCAGAGGGGAAUAACGUUUUGAAAAGAACGCUAAUACCGCAUAACAUAUCGGAACCGCAUGAUUCUGAUAUCAAAGGAGCAAUCCGCUGAGAGAUGGGCUCGCGUCCGAUUAGUUAGUUGGUGAGGUAACGGCUCACCAAGACUACGAUCGGUAGCCGGACUGAGAGGUUGAUCGGCCACAUUGGGACUGAGACACGGCCCAGACUCCUACGGGAGGCAGCAGUGGGGGAUAUUGCGCAAUGGGGGAAACCCUGACGCAGCAACGCCGCGUGAAGGAAGAAGGUCUUCGGAUUGUAAACUUCUUUUGUCAGGGACGAAGAAAGUGACGGUACCUGACGAAUAAGCUCCGGCUAACUACGUGCCAGCAGCCGCGGUAAUACGUAGGGAGCGAGCGUUGUCCGGAUUUACUGGGUGUAAAGGGUGCGUAGGCGGCCGAGCAAGUCAGUUGUGAAAACUAUGGGCUUAACCCAUAACGUGCAAUUGAAACUGUCCGGCUUGAGUGAAGUAGAGGUAGGCGGAAUUCCCGGUGUAGCGGUGAAAUGCGUAGAGAUCGGGAGGAACACCAGUGGCGAAGGCGGCCUACUGGGCUUUAACUGACGCUGAGGCACGAAAGCAUGGGUAGCAAACAGGAUUAGAUACCCUGGUAGUCCAUGCCGUAAACGAUGAUUACUAGGUGUGGGGGGACUGACCCCUU
rnacentral:rRNA from 1 species